CUGGCUCAGGAUGAACGCUAGCUACAGGCUUAACACAUGCAAGUCGAGGGGCAGCAUUCUGGAAGCUUGCUUCCAGAGAUGGCGACCGGCGCACGGGUGAGUAACGCGUAUCCAACCUUCCCCUUAGUAGGGCAUAGCCCGGCGAAAGUCGGAUUAAUACCCUAUGUUUUCCAAUGAGGACAUCUGAGCUGGAACAAAGAUUCAUCGCUAAGGGAUGGGGAUGCGUCUGAUUAGGUAGUAGGCGGGGUAACGGCCCACCUAGCCGACGAUCAGUAGGGUUCUGAGAGGAAGGUCCCCCACACUGGUACUGAGACACGGACCAGACUCCUACGGGAGGCAGCAGUGAGGAAUAUUGGUCAAUGGGCGUAAGCCUGAACCAGCCAAGUAGCGUGCAGGAUGACGGCCCUAUGGGUUGUAAACUGCUUUUAUGCGGGGAUAAAGUGAGGGACGUGUCCCUUAUUGUAGGUACCGCAUGAAUAAGGACCGGCUAAUUCCGUGCCAGCCGCGGC
rnacentral:rRNA from 1 species